GUGGGGAAUAUUCCGCAAUGGACGAAAGUCUGACGGAGCAACGCCGCGUGAGUGAUGAAGGUUUUCGGACUGUAAAGCUCUGUUGUUUAGGACGAAAGUGCCUGUUGCAAAUAGUUACAAGUAUUGACGGUACUGAACGAGGAAGCCACGGCUAACUACGUGCCAGCAGCCGCGGUAAUACGUAGGUGGCAAGCGUUGUCCGGAAUUAUUGGGCGUAAAGAGCAUGUAGGCGGGAAUCUAAGUCUGUUGUGAAAAUGCGGGGCUCAACCCCGUAUUGCGAUGGAAACUGGGUUUCUUGAGUGCAGGAGAGGAAAGGGGAAUUCCCAGUGUAGCGGUGAAAUGCGUAGAUAUUACGCAGAACCCCAAUUGCGAAGGCAGCUUACUGGACCGGUUACUGACGCUGAGGCACGAAAGCGUGGGUAUCAAACAGGAUUAGAAACCCGUGUAGUCC
rnacentral:rRNA from 1 species